CCAAAGCGCCGCUUCUCACGGGACCCGGCUUCGGGGCGCGUCGAGCCCGGGCGCUGACCCCUCGGGCGCCCUUUGCCCUCGCGGUGACCCCGGGCUGCGGCGGGAAGGAGCCGGGAGCGCGGCGCGCAGGGCGUCAGGCGCUGCGUUCCGCCACGUCUGGGCGCCCCGACUGGAAGAGGAGGCGAGAGCGAGAGCGGGGAGGAGGAGACGGACCAGGAGAGGAGCGGGAGCGGGGCGCUGUCUGUUAAAUCGACCGGUUGUUCCAGCUCUGGCCAUUGCAAGCUUUUUCAUGUUGGCUCCUGGGUCCAAGAUCAGGAACUGGCUGUGCUAACGGCUCCUGGGAUGUCAUUACUUCUAGGCCAUCUCUGCCGACAAAGUUAGGAGGAAAUGAAGAGAUGAGAGUGGAGUUGUAUUACAUGAAAGAGAAGAUCAUAAACAAAGAACAGCAGAGAGUUAACAAAAGAGGGGGAAAUGCAGCAUGCUGAACUUAUUGGCGUAUCAUGAUACAUCAGACAAGACAAGCCUCCUGAACCGCUUGCAGGAUCUUGCUUCCCAGGCUGGAGGUUGGCCUGAGCUCCUGUGGUGGGAGUGCUGUGUCCAAACUGCUGGACUAACAGAGAAACUCAGACCCCAGGGAAUAUUAAUCGGAGUGAGGCCUCCCAGACGUCCUCAUCUCGGCACCAGGACCCAGCUCUACCCAAAUGCCUGCAAACUCCAGUGAGGGACACCUCAGGCCAAACAACCAGUAAAACAGGAAUACAGCCCCACCCAUCCAAAAAAAAAAAAAAAAUGAAACGAUCAAAAAAAUGUGUUACAGAAAAAGGAGCAAGGUAAAAACCUACAAGACCAAAUAAAUGAAGACAAAAUAGGCAACGUACCUGAAAAAGAAUUCAGAGUAAUGAUAGUAAAGAUGAUCCAAAACUUCGGAAACAGAAUGGAGAAAGUACAAGAAACAUUUAACAAGUAUCUAGAAGCACUAAAGAGCAAAUACACAGCGAUGAACAGCACAGUAACUGAAAUUAAAAAGACUCUAGAAGGAAUCAAUAGCAGAAUAACUGAGGCAGAAGAACGGAUAAGUGACCUGGAAGAUAAAAUGGUGGAAAUAACUGUCAGGGAGUAGAAUAAAGAAAAAAGAAUGAAAAGAAUUGAGGACAGUCUCAGAGACCUCUGGAACAACAUUAAAUGCACCAACAUGUGAAUUAUAGGGGUCCCAGAAGAAGAAGAGAAAAAGAAAGAGUCUGAGAAAAUAUUUGAAGAGAUUAUAGACGAAAACUUCCCUAACAUGGGAAAGGAAAUAAUCAAGUCUGGGAAACACAGAGGGUACCAUACAGGAUAAACCCAAAGAGAAACAUGCCAAGACACAUAUUAAUCAAACUAUCAAAAAUUAAAUACAAAGAAAAAAUAUUAAAAGCAGCAAGGGAAAAGCAACAAAUAACAUACAAGGGAAUCCCCAUAUGGUUAACAGCUGAUCUUUCAGCAGAAACUCUACAAGCCAGAAGGGAGUGGCAGGACAUAUUGAAAGUGAAGAAAGGGAAAAAGCUAAAACCAAUAUUACUCUACCCAGCAAGGAUCUCAUUCAGAUUUGACGGAGAAAUUAAAACGUUUACAGACAAGCAAAAGCUAAGACAAUUCAGCACCACCAAACCAGCUUUACAACAAAUGCUAAGGAAACUUCUCUAAGCAGAAAACACAAAAGAAGAAAAAGACCCACAAAAGCAAACCUAAAACAAUUAAGAAAAUGGUAAUAGGAACAUACAUAUUGAUAAUAAACUUGAAUGUAAAUGGAUUAAAUGCCUCAGCCAAAAGACACAGACUGGCUGAAUGGAUAUGAAAACAAGACCCAUAUAUAUGCUAUCUACAAGGGACCCACUUCAGACCUAGGGACACAUACAGACUGAAAGUGAGGGGAUGGAAAAAGAUAUUCCAUGCAAAUGGAAAUUGAAAGAAAGCUGGAAUAGCAAUAUUCAUAUCAGAUAAAAUAGACUUUAAAAUGAAGACUGUUACAAGGGAUAAGGAAGGACACUACGUAAUGAUCAAGGGAUCAAUCCAGGAAGAAAACAUAACAAUUAUAAAUAUUUAUGCACCCAACACAGGAACAUCUCAAUACAGAAGGCAAAUGCUAACAGCCAUAAAAGGAGAAAUCAACAGUAACACGAUAAUAGUGGGGAACUUUAACACCCCACUUGCACCAAUACACAGAUCAUCCAGACAGAAAAUAAAUAAGGAAACACAAGUUUUAAAUGACACAAUAGACCAGAUAGACUUAAUUGAUAUUUUUAGGACAUUCCACCCAAAAGCAAAGAAAUACACUUUCUUCUCAAGUACACACAGAACAUUCUCCAGAAUAGAUCACAACUUGGGUCACAAAUCAAGCCUUGGAAAAUUAAAGAAAAUUGAAGUCAUAUCAAGCAUCUUUUCCAACCACAAUGCUAUGAAAUUAGAAGUCAAUUACAGAGGGCUUCCCUAGUGGCCCAGUGGUUGAGAGUCCGCCUGCCGAUGCAGGGGACGCGGGUUUGUGCCCCGGUCCGGGAGGAUCCCACAUGCUGCGGAGCGGCUGGGCCCGUGAGCCAUGGCCGCUGAGCCUGCGCGUCCGGAGCCUGUGCUCCGCAACGGGAGAGGCCACAGCAGUGAGAGGCCCGCGUACUGCAAAAGGAAAACUUUCCACUUAGAACAGAACUUGCCCAGGCAAUAACAAAACGUAAUGCUUUGUUUCACCGCAGCUGAAGCUGUUGAACAACCACAAACUUUGAGUCACCCACUGGCCUAAGCUGAUAAAUGAUUAGGAACUUGGAAUGCUCAAUAUGCCAGAAUCUUCCUGGAUCCAAGUGAAGAGUCUUACCAUUGCACAGUAGACUUUGUUGAAUCAGCCGCGCACAGACUCUAGGACUCAUCCUGCCCUGUCCAAAGUGUAAACUUUCGAUCAUUU